rnacentral:rRNA from 1 species
CUGACUGUGCUAAGGUAGCAUAAUAGAUAGAUACUUAAUUGGUAUCUGGAAUGAAUGGUCUUACGAAAAACCAAUUCUCUUCCUUAUAGAUAGAAAUUUAUAAGCAGGUAAAAAAGCCUUCCUUCUCCACGAAGACGAGAAGACCCUAAAACCUUUAUUAGAUACAAUUCUGAUUCGCUGGGGUGGCGAAUUUUACCACCAAAAUUCCAACUAACACGCUGAGUGACCUUUUCUACCUUCAAAUUUACCUAAAAAGGUACUUUAGGGAUAACAGCACAAUUUCUAUUUUAAGGCCGUAUUAAUAUAGAAGAUUAUGACCUCGAUGUUGAAUUGACAUUACACCUUUGCGCAACCGUAGGGGAAGUGGGUCUGUUCGACCCUUGUAUCGCCACGUGAUCUGAGUUCAGACCGGA